UACGUAGGGGGCAAGCGUUGUCCGGAGUACUGGGCGUAAAGCGCACGCAGGCGGUCUUUUAAGUUUGGAGUGACAGUUGGUGGCUUAACUGCCAAAGUGCUUCGAAAACUGACAGACUUGAGGGCUUCAGAGGGACACGGAAUUCCGGGUGGAGUGGUGAAAUGCGUAGAGAUCGGAAAGAACACCAACGGCGAAAGCACUCUGCUGGGCCGACACUGACACUGAGAGACGAAAGCUAGGGGAGCGAAUGGG
rnacentral:rRNA from 1 species